rnacentral:rRNA from 1 species
GAUGAACGCUGGCGGCGUGCCUAAUACAUGCAAGUCGAGCGAACAGAUGAGGAGCUUGUGCCUCUGACGUUAGCGGCGGACGGGUGAGUAACACGUGGAUAACCUACCUAUAAGACUGGGAUAACUUCGGGAAACCGGAGCUAACACCGGAUAAUAUAUUGAACCGCAUGGUUCAAUAGUGAAAGACGGUUUUGCUGUCACUUAUAGAUGGAUCCGCGCCGCAUUAGCUAGUUGGUAAGGUAACGGCUUACCAAGGCAACGAUUCGUAGCCGACCUGGGAGGGGGGUCGGCCACCCUGGAGCUGAGACACGGUCCAGGCUCCUACGGGAGGCAGCAGUAGGGAAUCUUCCGCAGUGGGCGGAAGCCUUACGGAGCAACGCCGCGUGUGUUAUGAAGGUCUUCGGAUCGUAAAACUCUGUUAUUAGUGAUGAACAAAUGUGUACGUAACUAUGCACGUCUUGACGGUACCUGAUCAGAAAGCCACGGCUAACUACGUG